GGGAGGGGCUGAGGUCAUCAGUGCACAAUGGUCAGGCCCGGAGUUUCAGUCCUUGUGACCUUGUGACCUUUGAAGAACGACAGAAGGAAUCGAGGGGCGUCGUGGCGACCGGGUUAGGUUUAUCUGCUGCUCUGGCUCCUUGCUCCUAGACCUAGGGGCGGGCCCCUAGUUAUGCGGCGUGCAGGCGACGGGAAGCGCUUGUCGUGAGCAGCAGCGAUGAGAUCAGUUUGCAUAACCACAGCGUCGGGGUGGGGAGUGCAGCCAGUCACGCAGCCACCACCCGACCCGGCUCAGGCUCUGCCCAGGUGGCAGCGGCUGCCCCACGGAUUUGGGUAGCUGGAGGUGGUCCUGCCCCUUCAAGGCCAGGGCCUGCUGGGGUGUCAGAAUCAUUCCAAGGGAGUGUCCAGGAGGCAGUGGGGAGGAGGGGAGCCACACACACACAAAAAACCCCCGCAACCUUCAGGGUUUGCAGACUGGAUUCUAUUAGGCAGGUUUCCAGACACAGUGAAAACCACUGUGCCUAGUAGGUAACUUCAAAGACCACUAUCAUGGAAAUCAAAGGUCAUUAAAAGGGGCCUUUAAUUUGUUUAUAUUAUUUCGCCUAGCAGUCUUUCCUAUGUGUGCAUGAAAUUUAAUUUAUGCAUUCAAGUCUGGAAUCCUGCUUUAGCAAGGGAAACAAUUAUGAAUUCAGUUAAGAGUAUGGGUACAAACGGAUUACUUAAAAGAACAAUGAACUGGGAAAAAAAAAUUCCAGCUCCUAACAAGAAGGCCAUUACAUUCAGCUUUUCACGGUUUUGAACAUCUUGUGCGGGCUCAACAAUAAUACGUGGAGGAAGCUUCUAAUUAGGCAUUUAAAACGCUAGCAUUUACGCCAGGAAAACGUCAAGAAUGCCUUAUGUUAUAGACAUGUGAAUACCAUCUACAUAUAUAAGAGAAAAUCAAGAGAUAUCAACCUCCUGAGAACGCAUUGCUUUAGGACAUCCAACAAGCAUCUCACAUGGAACGUGUUCAAAUAGACCUCAACUUGGUCUCCCCCUGAUCUUUCCUGUCUUAGUAAUCAUACCACAAUAGUCAAUCCAAAGUCUUGAUAAGCAUUUUUAUUCUUCCCUCUUCUUCUGUAUCUACUUUAUCAGCAAGCCAUGGUCAUUUGAUUUCAGAUAGAUAGAUAGCUAUAGAUAGAUAGAAAGUAUGUGUAUGUGCAUAUAUCUGUAUUAGUUUGUAUACUUGAGUGUCAGUGCCUAUGGAAGCCAAAGGCAUCAGAGCCUCCAGGAGGUUGAGUUACAGUUGAUUGUCAUCCAUGUGUGCUGGGAAUCACAAUUGGAUCCUCUGGAAGAGCAGGAAAUACCCUUAACCAUUGAGCCACCUCUCCAGUGCCCCCUAAUACAUUUUAUAUCAACCUCCAUCUUCCAUGUAUACUGUAUGUAACACCUGAUCCUGCUAUGGUCUGGGGUCGUCCAGAGAUUCACCAGUCUAUUUUUAUCCUCAAAAUACAAUGUUGAACAUCACACUCAGAACUAGCACUUCCCUCUCAAUAAAUGUAUAUUUAUCAUCUCAUAUCAUGCAUUUUCUGUCCAUACUAGAAGUGACCUUUGAAUGAUAUAUAUUGGCUUAUGUCAUCUUUCUUCUUGUCUUUCAAGGGUCAGCACCACAUUUGGAAUAACUCCUAAAUUUCCUCCAAAGGCCUAACAUGAUCCAGCCCCAGCUGUUCCCUGAACAUAUGUUUUCCAAGUCCACCCCUACAUACCCCUCUUCAGCCAUUCUGAUCUUCUGCUCUGCAAGCAGGUCAGGCACAUUGCUGCCUGGAGGCUGGAGUGUUAUUCCUUCUGUUUGAAGAUGUUUUUCUUGGG
rnacentral:lncRNA from 1 species